rnacentral:rRNA from 1 species
UCGAACGAUGAUCCCAGCUUGCUGGGGGAUUAGUGGCGAACGGGUGAGUAACACGUGAGUAACCUGCCCUUGACUCUGGGAUAAGCCUGGGAAACUGGGUCUAAUACCGGAUAUGACCAUUCCACGCAUGUGGUGGUGGUGGAAAGCUUUUGUGGUUUUGGAUGGACUCGCGGCCUAUCAGCUUGUUGGUGGGGUAAUGGCCUACCAAGGCGACGACGGGUAGCCGGCCUGAGAGGGUGACCGGCCACACUGGGACUGAGACACGGCCCAGACUCCUACGGGAGGCAGCAGUGGGGAAUAUUGCACAAUGGGCGCAAGCCUGAUGCAGCGACGCCGCGUGAGGGAUGACGGCCUUCGGGUUGUAAACCUCUUUCAGUAGGGAAGAAGCGAAAGUGACGGUACCUGCAGAAGAAGCGCCGGCUAACUACGUGCCAGCAGCCGCGGUAAUACGUAGGGCGCAAGCGUUAUCCGGAAUUAUUGGGCGUAAAGAGCUCGUAGGCGGUUUGUCGCGUCUGCUGUGAAAGACCGGGGCUCAACUCCGGUUCUGCAGUGGGUACGGGCAGACUAGAGUGCAGUAGGGGAGACUGGAAUUCCUGGUGUAGCGGUGAAAUGCGCAGAUAUCAGGAGGAACACCGAUGGCGAAGGCAGGUCUCUGGGCUGUAACUGACGCUGAGGAGCGAAAGCAUGGGGAGCGAACAGGAUUAGAUACCCUGGUAGUCCAUGCCGUAAACGUUGGGCACUAGGUGUGGGGGACAUUCCACGUUUUCCGCGCCGUAGCUAACGCAUUAAGUGCCCCGCCUGGGGAGUACGGCCGCAAGGUAAA